UACGGAGGGGGGCUAGCGUUGUUCGGAAUUACUGGGCGUAAAGCGCACGUAGGCGGCUUUGUAAGUUAGAGGUGAAAGCCCGGAGCUUAACUCCGGAACUGCCUUUAAGACUGCAUCGCUUGAAUCAUGGAGAGGUUAGUGGAAUUCCGAGUGUAGAGGUGAAAUUCGUAGAUAUUCGGAAGAACACCAGUGGCGAAGGCGACUAACUGGACAUGUAUUGACGCUGAGGUGCGAAAGCGUGGGGAGCAAACAGG
rnacentral:rRNA from 1 species